UUCUGGGAAAAAAAAGUCAUAAGAGCAAAGUAUAUACAGUUCUGCAGUGCGUCAUGCCAUCGCAAAGAGCAUGGAGUGUGCCCUGAGUGACCCAAAGGUCACGGCCGUGGUCAUCUGUGGAGAGAAUGGAAGCUUUUGUGGAGGUGCAGACAUUCGGGAGUUUGCUGGGCCUUUAAAAGGGCCUCCA